rnacentral:lncRNA from 1 species
GUUUCAGUCUAACCUCAGCAGAGCGCAGAUCCCCUCAUCUUCCUCAUGCAGUGGUGGCCUUUCGUUAGCUUUACAAAGAUGGCUGAGUUUUGGGAAAGGGCUGUUAUGCCCAGAAAUGACUAAGGGCAGUUUGGAGAUUAACUGGCUGUCGGUUAGAUCAGAUCUCCUUCACCAUCACCAUUUUCUCACUGUUAAAACUUUUACAAAGGCAGUUUCCAGUGUCUCCUGGGGGCUGGCCCUGAGGACUCCCUUCCCCCAGCCAUGCCCCAAGUUCGCAGAGCAGAGCCCCCAGACUAUGCCUGGGCCACUGCACCAGCCUGCUUCCCUACUGAGCGGAGCCCCCAGACCAUGCCUGGGCCACUGCACCAGCCUCCCUCCGCCCUGACAGGAGCAAAGCUUGGCCCCUGAAAGGAGGACGUCCCUGCAGAGGGUGGGAGGGCAGUUCCCAGGACUUGCACUUGCUGUGCUGCCUGGAGCAUGUGGCCAGACCUCUCUGAGCCUUGCGACUCAUCUAUGACCCCUCCUUGCUGGGAAGAUGGACCCAGAAAGUUCACAGGAAGGAGAGCGUUCCGGGGGGAGGGAGUGCUACCAUUCAAGCUCCUACCCAUCCCCCUGGCCUGAUUUGAGCACCCCCAUUUUUCAAAAUUUGUUUUAGAGCUGCACACC